rnacentral:rRNA from 1 species
GGGGAAACCCACCUUUGAUGGCUAGAAAAAUUAAGCUGUUUUUUUAAGACAGUUUAAUUUUCUAGUCGUCAGAUAAAGGUAUCUACACCUGAAUAAAAUAGGGUGUAAGAAGCAAACGCAGGGAACUGAAACUUCU